AGAGUAAUUUGUUCACUCGAUGCUGACAGAGGGAUCACACUUCGAUAGGGAACACGGGUAUCAAUUUCUUGGAGGGCAUCAAUGAGAUAUGGAAUGAUACCUUUACCAUAAGUCACUCAACGUUGCACGAACAAAAUACGGAAGACUGACAGAGGAAAUGGACGGGCUUGUUGCUGUGAAGGAUAUGACAGGGACCUGAGUCUUGUUCCCGAGAUCUGAUACAAAUGAAGCUUGCGAAGAUUUUUGUGGGCCUAUGAUAACUUGCACGUUAUGAUUGUUCAGCAGGUCAAGAGCUGUAAGUUUCAUAGGAAGACAACCUUAGUUGAAGAUUUGUUCCUACAAGACAACUUUUACUACAAGAAAAUUUCCUGGACACCUUGAGGGUGAAAAAGCGAAAAAAUGUUUGCUGAUCUAUAUUUGAGCUUUUAGAGCAUCAUAUUGCUUGCAAGUUUGUGAUUAGCAGGAUUGCGAGUAAUAUAGAUGCAGCUGUACCAUGCAUGUACCAGAUGAAUGGAAUUACGAAAUAUUUCUGUCAUGUUUAUCUUCGUACGAAUUUUGUUAACACACUUUUUGUCAUACAUUAUGUUACAUGCCAUGUUUUCAUUGCAACAA